GCCUCCGUUCUCCUUCCCCGCCGCAUACCCCGCCGCCGCCUCCCCUCCUCUGUCCUCUCCCCACUCUCCCCUGCCGCCCUUCCAACUCCCCUCCCCCUGCAGUCCCCCCUGCGGAGGCGACGCGAUGCCCGGCCAGCAACGCAGCAGCGGCCCGGCGGCGCGACUCGCGCUACCCGCGAGGUGGAGGAGUGGCCUGGAUGCUGCACAACAGCGGGGCGUGCCGCUGCCGAGAUCGCCGCCCGUCUAGCCCGCGCUGUCGACCAACAGGUGGGGUCCGCUGCUUGCCGGCGCCGUCGCUCUUGGAGGCGUCGUACGAGCCUCGCCUCCGCAUUCACCCUCGACGCCGCCACGGCCUCCUCCCCUCCUGCUGCUCGCCUUGCGCCCGCACGGUGCCAUGGUCUCUUCCCCCUCCUGCCGCUUGCCGCCGCCACGUCCUCCUCCCCCUCCUGGAUGCUUAGGGCGAAAUCGCAGGCAGGCGGCCAGGGGCUCAUCUGCGCCUGAGCGGAAUUGCAGGCAGGCGGCAGGCGGGCACAUCUCUUCACCAAUGCCUAUGACGGCAGCGAGCCCCCCACGCUGAAGGGCGGCGACGCAGUGCGCCUCCUCCCUCCCCCAGACGACUCUCCCUCACCAAUCCGGCGUCCAUACUCCAUACGUCAGCUUCAAGUCCACCCCAAGGUGAGCCCCAAGCAUAACUUACCUCUGGUUCCCGUGGCUUUCGAUUUGGGCAACUAGGGUUCGAUAAACUGGUUGGAUAUGAUUAGAUCGAGUCAUAAAUAUCCAAUUUUAUCCACUGGGUGUUGAAAUUUGGGUGAGGUAAAUGUCCAAUUCUAUCCAGAGGUAUGAAAACUGCUUCAUCAGUCCCUUGAAAUAAGUAUUUUAGCACCCUGAAUGCGCACCUAGCACAUGCAGUUUACAGUUUGAUAUUUAUUAGUAAACCUAGCAUGUAGUUUAAUUUGGGGAUGAAAUUUUGUUUGUGGAUCUUGAUUUAUUUGGUUGCUGAUUAAGAAGGCCACUUUCAUUGACCACUAUUGCAAAAUUGUUGGUCUGUGAAGCCUUGGCGUGGAGGAGGAUAAAGUAUCUCCAACUUCCACCACAAAGUUAGUUUUUCUAAUGAUGGACCUGUUAGCUUUUGUACAUUCUGGUUAUUUUUUCCCUGAAAUUGCUAUAGGCAUCCCUUCAUUAAGCUUAAUUAUAAGAGAGAACGAGUUUUCUGCUCGGGUGCUGAUUAUGUCAAAGUUCUUUUGUAGGAAAUAGUGCAACAUAAUCGAUGCAUUAUCUUUUGCACCUAAGGCUGCAAGGGAUGGAUUGGAGACUGAUCGACAGGUUUUCACAAACAUGUUUUUGUUUUUGUUUGUAGAUAUCGCGAAGUACUUGUCUCUUUCAUCUAAAACAUUUAACUAGAUAGUGAUAUAUAUCAACCACAGUUAAUGUGUUUUCCUUAGCAUAAACCAAAUGGCAGUACAGGGACCAGUCUAAUAUUUCCAUGUCUUUGUUUUUUCAUAUGCUUGAUGCAGACAUACUGAACAGUGAAGGUAACAAUGACAGACAGAUCAUGUGCUCUUGCUUUUCUGCAGAAACAUUUCUUUUCUUGAGGUUACAAACUUCAGUAGAUUCAUAUCACAUACUGAUGGCUGAAUUAUUAGCAUGGGCCGUGGCUGAUUACUUUUUAUAGUUAGUCCCGUAAAGCUAACACCACUGUUGUAAAAUGAAGUAUUUUGACUGGCAUAUAUCAUUUUCUGCUAGUCUUCUCUUAACUUAACUGAAAAUUGAUUCCAUUUGUGUAGUGCUGCUACAGCAAAAUAAGAAACUGCAUACUCAAAAUAUAAGAAAUAUCUAUUGUUUCUUUGUGUAUUUAUUGGUAAAUGACACUUUUGGUCCAUUCUUGGAAUUGUCCCUUUGUUCCUAUGUGUACUCUAAAGUUUUGCUCUUUUUAGUAUAUAAAAAAAUGAUUCCAUGCUGAAGUUUGAUCUUUAGAAGACACCAGAUCCAUUUUCUCUAUUAUUUCAUAUAUUGAUGUUUACAGUGGUAUGUUCAUUUCUGGUGCCCGAAGAUGGGGCUGGAUUUUCAGGAUUGCUGCUUGGCCCUCUACAACAACAGCUGGUCCUGGAUGUGCGCUGGUGAAGGUGACGGCCAGGCGAUGAAGCUGAGUUUGGGGCAAGCUGCUGCAACAGCAACGAUAACAGGAAGUUUUAUCAAACCCAGUGAGAGAACCUAUCUAGAAGAGAUGAUUCAAACAGGAAUAUCCACCAUUGAUGUGAUGAACUCAAUUGCACGAGGGCAUAAAAUUCCUCUCUUCUCUGCUGCUGGGCUUCCACACAAUGAGAUUGCUGCUUAGAUAUGUCGUCAAGCUGGUCUUGUCAAAAGGCUGGAGAAUUCUGGCAAGCACAAGGAGGCUGCAGAUGGAUGAUUGGCAUACAUACACAUAUUGUGUUGCCUGAUGGCAUCAAAUUUGGGGUUGUGGCUCGAGCUGAGGAGCUAAACGAGUUCUACGAUGUACCACGCUCAAAGUUCUAAACGAGUUCUAUGAUGUACCACGAUCAAAGUUAUGAAGAUUAAAAUUCUGCAAUAAAAUAUAUGUAUGACUGACCAGUAGCUCGAGUCUUUUAGGAAUGUAAAAAUUAAAGAAUGUUUGUAGGAGUCCAUUUACAGAGUGAUUGCUACAGUAUUGACAAACAAGGUUAAUUCUUUAGUAGUCGUUUCUUGUAAUGCAAUUAUUCUUUAAAUAUAUUUUUUUUAUGAUAUGACA